CUCCCCUUUACUACUAGAAGUUGCUGUAAAAUAUAAGAUCUGAUAACAGGCGUGAUAUCAAUUCCUUGACCAUCAAAAGGUGUAAAAUCUUCCGUUCUUUUUUCGUCCCUGAUCACGUAGCUAAUAAAUUUUCGAACUAGAUCUGGAUUUGGCAACUGCUCUCCAAAGCAAUACACAGACACAAGCUCCAUAAAAAAUGACUUGCAACGGUUACGAAAACUGUUGCAGAUCUCAAGAGCACGACU
rnacentral:lncRNA from 1 species